rnacentral:lncRNA from 1 species
AUGUUCUCAUUCUAUAUAGCCAAUUAAAAGGUUUUUAUAGACGCUUUCAGAAGAAAUUCAUUAUACAUGUCGAUAACGUAAGUUUAGAGGCUAUAAAUUAGACUUCCCCAAUUUUGAAUUCAAAACUGGCACCAAAUAUAAUUUAUUUGAUUAUAUUAGCAACUUUUUAUCAACUUUAUUACGUUUACAUUAUUUAUAACUAACUAACAGGUUUUUUCUAGGCGCUUUUGGAUGAAAUAAUUUGUAUAUUUUCCUUUAAAAAUAACAUAAGUUUAGAUGCAAUAAAGUUCGAGUUGCCCAAUUUGAAUUGAGAAGUGUCACCAGAAAUAAUUCAUUUGNNNNNNNNNNNNNNNNNNNNNNNNNNNNNNNNNNNNNNNNNNNUAUGUUCUCAUUCUAUAUAGCCAAUUAGAAGGCUUUUAUAGACGCUUUUGGACGAAAUUCAUUAUACAUUUCGAUAACGUAAGUUUAUAGGCUAUAAAUAAGACUUCCCCAAUUUUGAAUUUAAAACUGCCAACAAAUAUAAUUUAUUUGAUUAUAAUAGCAACUUUUUAUCAACUUUAUUACGUUUUCAGUAUUUAUAACUAACUAACAGUUUUUUCUAGACGCUUAUGGAUGAAAUUAUUUGUAUAUUUCUCUUUAAAAAUAACAUAAGUUUAGAUGCAAUAAAGUUCGACUUGCCCAAUUUGAAUUCAGAAGUGUCAACGAAAAUAAUUCAUUUGAUUAAAUUAGCAACUUUAUAUUAACAUUAUUAUGUUCUCAUUCUAUAUAGCCAAUUAUAAGGUUUUUAUAGACGCUUUUGGACGAAAUUCAUUAGACAUUACCAUAACGUAAGUUUAGAGGGGAUAAAUUCGACUUCCCCAAUUUUGAAUUCAAAAGUGGCACCAAAUAUAAUUUAUUUGAUUAUAUUAGCAACUUUUUAUCAAAUUUAUUACGUUUUCAUUAUUUAUAACUAACAAACAGGUUUUUCUAGACGCUAGCGGAUAAAAUUAUUUAUAUAUUUCUCUUUAAUAAUAACAUAAGUUUAGAUGCAAUAAAGUUGGACUUGCCCAAUUUGAAUUGAGAAGUGUCAGCAGAAAUAAUUCGUUUGAUUAAAUUAGCAACUUUAUAGCAACAUUAUUAUGUUCUCAUUCUAUAUAGCCAGUUAAAAGGUUUUUAUAGACGCUUUUGGAUAAAAUUCAUUAUACAUUUCCAUAACGUAAGUUUAGAGGCUAUAAAUUCAACUUCCCCGAUUUUGAUUUCAAAAGUGGCACCAAAUAUAUAACUUAUUUGAUUAUAUUAGCAACUUUUUAUCAACUUUAUUACGUUGUCAUUAUUUAUAACUAACAAACAGGUUUUUCUAGACGCUUUUGGAUUAAAUUAUUUGUAUAUUUCUCUUUAAAAAUAACGUAAGUUUAGAUGCAAUAAAGUUCGACUUGCCUAAUUUGAAUUGAGAAGUGUCAUCAGAAAUAAUUCUUUUGAUUAAAUUAGCAAGUUUAUAUCAACAUUAUUGUUCUCUCAUUCUAUAUAGCCAAUUAAAUGGUUUUUAUAGACGCUUCUGGACGAAAUUCAUUAUACAUUUCGAUAACGUAAGUUUAGAGGUUAUAAAUUCGACUUCCCCAAUUUUGAAUUCAAAAGUGGCACCAAAUAUAAUUUAUUUGAUUGUAUUACCAACUUUUUAUCAACUUUAUUACAUUUUCAUUAUUUAUAACCAACAAACAGGGUUUUCUAGAUGCUUUUGGAUGAAAUUUUUUGUAUAUUUCUCUUUAAAAAUAACAUAAGUUUAGAUGCAAUAAAGUUCGACUUGCCCAAUUUGAAUUGAGAAGUGUCACCAGAAAUAAUUCAUUUGAUUAAAUUAACAACUUUAAAUCAACAUUAUUAUGUUCUCAUUGUAUAUAGCCAAUUAAAAGGUUUUUAUAGACGCUUUAGGACGAAAUUCCAUUUACAUUUCGAUAACGUAAGUUUGGAGGCUAUAAAUUAGACUUCCCCAAUUUUGAAUUCAAAACUGGCACCAAAUAUAAUUUAUUUGAUUAUAUUGGCAACUUUUCAUCAACCUUAUUUCAUUUUCAUUAUUUAUAACUAACUAACAGGUUUUUAUAGAUGGUUUUAGAUGAAAUUAUUUGUAUACUACUCUUUAAAAAUAACAUAAGUAUAGAUGCAAUAAAGUUCGACUUGCCCAAUUUGAAUUGAGAAGUGUCUCCAGAAAUAAUUCAUUUGAUUAAAUUAGCAACUUGAUAUCAACAUUAUUAUGUUCUCACUCUAUAUAGCCAAAUAAAAGGUUUUUAUGGACGCUUUUGGACGAAAUUCAUUAUACAUUUCGAUAACAUAAGUUUAGAGGCCAUAAUUUCGACUUCCCCAAUUUUGAAUUCAAAAUGGCAACAAAUAUAGUUUAUUUGAUUAUAUUAGCAAGUUUUUAUCUACAUUAUUACGUUCUCAUUAUUUAUAACUAACUAAUAGGUUUUUCUAGAUGCUUUUUGUCACACCCCGAAAACCGAAGGCGGAAACAUUUUCGGGUUUGACUCCACGUUGAGUAUCAAAUCCAAUGUACAUAUUAAGUAAAGUGAAACAAACAUUACAUUACAUAUUAAAAGUUUUACAAUUUGUUUCAAAAGACAUAGUUUAUACAGUUGUGAUACAUAAUAUAGAUAUUAACAAAAUGAGCGAGCCUUGCACGCACACGAUCCUGAACCAAGUAAGUCUUCGGGUACCUGUACUAUCGUUGACCUGAGAACACAAGCGGUUUGAAAAUCAGCAUAACGCUGGUGAGUUCAUAAGCAGUUUUGUUUUGUGAAAAUGUUUAUAUUUCCUUUCUGUUUCUGAAAAUGUAACACACACCAAGAAAAUCCCAUAUUUUCUUAAAGUUGGUUGUUGUUUCAUAAGAGUAAUGUAUGGUAUAGUUAUCCGGUACAUUGUUUAAUGUCUUUAAUGUAUUAGUGUAUUCCCAAGAAAGUCCCAUACUUUCCUGAAGUGUAGUUAUUGUAAAAGAUGUAAUGUUAUUCAGUUGGUUACUCUUGUCUGAUUAUGUGUAGGUUACCCAGGAAUGCCCCAUGCUUUCCUGUAUGUUUGUUUUCAAUGUAAAAGAUGUAUUCUGUUAGACCUGGUUGUGUACAAGAUUUCCCAGGAAGGUCCCAUACCUUCCUGAAGGUUGGUUAAAAUAUGUAAAAGAUGUAAAAGAUGUAAAAGAUGUAAACUGAAUCCUGGUUAUCUGUAAAAUGUAGUAUAUAGUUCAUUAUUACUAUAAGUAAAUCUCUGUUAUCCUAAUUGCGAGUUCCAUAACCAUACUAAAGACUGAACCUGUGGCAAUAAGUAGUCCACAACCUUGUGGCAAUAAGUAGUCCACAAUUCUUAUGACUUUCGUCACCCUUGAACCAUUUCGGUUCGGCUGUAGCUAGCAGCCAGGUGUGGGGUAGUCAGCCCCGUAUAGAUCUAUACACUCAAGUCACGCUCUCUAAAUCCCAGAGAUUCUGGUUACGGGUGUAGUCCUCCACUCGCGUAUCUCUGUGGAGUGUUCGCCGAGGACGUGUCUCCAAUCAUACGGAAUAACAAAUUUACUAGUAAUAAUAGGAUAAUCCUCCAUUCGCGUACCUCUGUGGAAUGUUACCGAGGACAAGACUGUGUACGAAUUAUAUUGUUUAUGUAUUAUAAUGUCAUGCUUUUAACUGAUAAAAUAUGGAAACCAUUUGUGAAAUAUACUAAACAUAACCGUUUAUAAAUCCAUUUCACAAAUAACUGUUUAAUUGAGCUGUAUAUUCUACUGGUUAUCAGUUACGUGUAUCAGUAUUAAAAGCAUAAGAAAUGUGAAACACACACACGAAAAAUAAUUUUGAGUACAAGAAAACCCUUGUACUUUGCUUGUGUUCCCCCCUGAAAACAGUGAAAAAUAGUGAAAAAGGUAGGGGUAUGAACUCACCGGACUCGGAAAUGUGUCGGUUUUGGAUACUAGAUGUUGAUCCGGGGAUUGUUUACUUGCGAUGCCCUAUGUAAAAUGAAAUAAUGUCCAUAUAUAUACAAUUAGGGAUACAUUCACUAAUCAUAUGGAACAUUACACUCCAACGAGGUUAACACCUCGAAAUGAGCGUUUGGAGUGACCCGGGUGACAUCUUCGGACAUGUAAUGGCACUAGGGACUUGGGACUUGAUUUUACUCUCCAAAAGUAAACAUUUAAAAGAGUUUACAACCAUUGAACACACACCUACAUGAGUUUACGGCCGUAAACUCAUGUGGGUGUGGUUUUGGGUGUUUAAAUGGCUUAAAUGGACAUGGGGAUUGUUGGAAUGGAUUUCUAAAAUGCCUUGGAAUUAAUUGAAUGAAAUUAUAACACUUAAAAGGGAGUUUACGGCCACCCCAUAAGAGUUUACGGCCGUAAACUCACCUAUGGCCUAGGAAAAUUGAUUUGAGCUUCAUAGGACAAUCACAUGUGAUUCUAACUAAUUUUCCAAGCCUUGUUAUGAAUUUAGAACAUCAUUUAACACAUUUAUUGGAGUUUACGGCCUAGAGGUAUGUUCUAAGGCCGUAAACUCUCCUUUACCCAUGAAAAAGAUAGUUUUUGAUGCUUAAAACAAUCACAUGCGAUUAAUAGGAUUUUUCCAAGACCUAACAUGAGUUUUGUGGGACAUUUGAGAGGAGUUAUGGAGUUUACGGCCCAUGAGACCCUCCUCAUGGCCGUAAACUCUUCUAUAGGGUGAUAUAAUGUGUUUCAAGGUCUAAAACUUGCAUAGAAGGGCUUCUAAAAUUCAUCUAUAGGCUUUAGGGGUGUUUAGUUUGCAUUCUAACACCAAAAUUUUUAGAGUUUACGGCCCAAAAACAAGCCUUGGCCGUAAACUCUUAGAAAUCCCACAAAUGAUGUGAUUAAGUCCCUUAAAAUAUUUUUGGUUGGUCCUUUGAUUUAUUCCAAGGCUUUUGGUAGUGUUGGAUGGCUUUCUAAUACCUUAGAAAUGAAUUUAUGCCUUGUUUUGGGGAGUUUACGGCCCAAGCACUCACCUUGGCCGUAAACUCACAUAAGUCCCUCAAAAGUUAUGUUUCAAGUGUCCAAAUNCUCCAAAUCAUUUUUAGAUGAAUCUAGGAUUUACCACAAGGCCAUUGGUUGAGUUUCAAAGCAUUUGGACAUGUUUAAAGGCACUAAAUCCCCAUUAAAGAGGAGUUUACGGCCCAAGAACAUACCUUGGCCGUAAACUCUCUUUUGUCCCUCAUAAUUCAUGUUUUAAUUGUUUUAAGUCUAGAUUUGCAAGCCUUAUAGUCAUAUCUAAGUCCCAACUUUGAUUUGGAAGGGUAAUUUGGCUUAAAAACCCCAUUUAAUGGAGUUUACGGCCCAAGCUUGCUCCUUGGCCGUAAACUCAUGUUCUUGGUCCCAAAACUCAAUUAAUUCAUCAAUUUGAAGGCUAAAGAUGUUGAAUAAUAUGCUAGGGAGGUUACCUUAAAGAUUUGAAGCCUUAAACUUGAGAUUUGGACCUUAAUUCUAGCUUGAGGAGAGAGGUUGUGAGAGUUUAGUGAGAAAUUGGCCAAAGGCUUCAAAUGGAGUCUUAAACAUGUUUAUAUAGUGUUCAGGAAUUGGACACGAUAGAAUUCUACCCGAUACCGAUGUUAAGUGAGGCUUUUAGUCGUACCAGAUUGAGUUACCGUAACCCGAUACGGUAAUUUCUAGAAAUAUUCUGAUCACUAAAGUAGGGUGUUAAAAUGAUUUUCUAAAUGUAUUAAGACACCCAUUAAGUCAUUUUAGGUCAAUAUAAACUAAUGACUUAAUACAAUGGCGAAAUUGGAAACAAAUUGAAGAUGACGUCUGGUUGAUCGGAUUGGAUUACAAGUUGUGGUACAAGAAGUGACAUGAAAUUUCGGGUUGUUACACUUUUGGAUGAAAUUAUUUGUAUAUUUCUCUUUAAAGAUAACAUAAUUUUAGAUGCAAUAAAGUACGACUUGCCUAAUUUGAAUUGAGAAGUGUCAACAGAAAUAAUUCAUUUGAUAAAAUUAGAAACUUUAUAUCAACAUUAUUAUGUUCACUUUCUAUAUAGCCAGUUAACAGGUUUUUAUAGACGCUUUUGGACGAAAUUCAUUAUACAUUUCGAUAACGUAAGUUUAGAGGCUAUAAAUUAGACUUCCCCAAUUUUGAAUUCAGAACUCACACCAAAUAUAAUUUAUUUGAUUAUAUUAGCAACUUUUUAUCAACCUUAUUUCGUUUUCAUUAUUUAUAACUAACUAACAGGUUUUUCUAGAUGCUUAUGGAUGAAAUUAUUUGUAUAUUUCUCUUUAAAAAUAACAUAAGUUUAGAUACAAUAAGGUUCGACUUGCCCAAUUUGAAUUGAGAAGUGUCAACGGAAAUAAUUCUUUUGAUUAAAUUAGCAACUUUAUAUCAACAUUAUUAUGUUCUCACUCUAUAUAGCCAAAUAAAAGGUUUUUGUAGACGCUUUUGGACAAAAGUCAUUAUACAUUUCGAUAACAUAAGUUUAGAAGCCAUAAAUUCGACUUCCCCAAUUUUGAAUUCAAAACUGGCGCCAAAUAUAGUUUAUUUGAUUAUAUUAGCAACUUUUUAUCCACAUUAUUACGUUCUCAUUAUUUAUAACUAACAAAUAGGUUUUUCUAGACGCUUUUGGAUGAAAUUAUUUGUAUAUUUCUCUUUAAAAAUAACAUAAGUUUAGAUGCAAUAAAGUUCAACUUGCCCAAUUUGAAUUGAGAAGUGUCAACAGAAAUAAUUCAUUUGAUUAAAUUUGCAACUUUAUAUCAACAUUAUUAUGUUCUCAUUCUAUAUAGCCAAUUAAAAGGUUUUUAUAGACGCUUUUGGACGAAAUUCAUUAUAAAUUUCGAUAACAUAAGUUUAGAGGCUAUAAAUUCGACUUCCCCAAUUUUGAAUUCAAAAGUGGCACCAAAUAUAACUUAUUUGAUUGUAUUAACAACUUUUUAUCGAAUUUAUUACGUUUUCAUUAUUUAUAACUAACAAACAGGUUUUUCUAGACGCUUUUGGAUGAAAUUAUUUGUAUAUUUCUCUUUAAAAAUAACAUAAGUUUAGAUGCAAUAAAGUUCGACUUGCCCAAUUUGAAUUGAGAAGUGUCAACAGAAAUAAUUCAUUUGAUUAAAUUAGCAACUUUAUAUCAACAUUAUUAUGUUCUCUUUCUAUAUAGCCAAUUAAAAGGUUUUUAUAGAUGCUUUUGGACGAAAUUCAUUAUACAUUUCGAUAACGUAAGUUUAGAGGCUAUAAAUUCGACUUCCCCAAUUUUGAAUUCAAAAGUGGCACCAAAUAUAA